UGACGUCAUCUUUGGAAGCCCCUGCACCACGUGGCUCGACACCUUACCCUGGGCCUACCUGGUAGGCACAUUUCACAGAGUCCAUGGACUCAGCGGAACCGUCAUUGUACAAAGAGCAUGAAGUCACUGCUUUUGAGCACCUCCCGGGCACCGUGUUCCGUGUCGUUUAAUCCUGCCAGGGAAGUGAUUUCAUCACUUGCCCUUUACAGUUGCUUCCAGGGGACAUCUGCUGAGAGGAGCCAGUCAAUAUUGUAGAGAAGUUCAAAGAAUACUCAUCAUUAGCAGUGUCAGCUUUACAACCAGGAGGAGACAAGGCGUUGAGAAGUGCUGGAUUUUAUAACAGUUUCAUUCGCAGAAAUAUGCCUAAUCUUGAAGGGGCUCUAACGCUAGGUAGCUCAAUGAAUUAGCACCGAAGGACGAGGAGUGUGAAAUAAUGCCACUUCCUAAACAGCUGUUAUCAGUCAGCUGGCCCUCCCCACCACACACAUCCAGGAGUUCAGAGCAUGCUUGAAGAAAGCUUUGGAUGCCAGAAAUGAAAUGAGAAGUUGGAGGGUCAGAGGUCAUUCCGAGGAAGGGUUAAAGAACUGUGGGCCGGAUGUGAUUGGCGUAAAUAAAAGAGGAAACUACAAUAAACCAUACAUCCCCUGGUUUAUAAGUACAAAUGCAUGAAUCCAUCGUUUAAUAAAUAAGUAAUUAUUUAUUAAAUAUCAGUAGAUUAAAUAAAUGCUUUACACUUGAACACUAUUUUCUAUAGAAUAAAUUCAUUGUGGGGAAAUUUGUUAUUCAAAUGAUGUGUCUGCUUCCUAGAUGGUGUUUUUUUUUUUCUUCUUCUUUUUUCUUUUAUUGGACUUUUAAAAUUUACAUUUCAAAUGUUAUCCCCUUUCCUGGUUUCCACUCCAGAAACCCACUACCCCCCUCCCACUGCCUCUAUGAGGAUGCUCCCCCACCCACCCACUCUGUCCCAUCUCCCCGCCCUAACAUUCUUGUCCACAGGACCAAGGGCCUCUCCUCUCAGUGAUGCUCAACAAGGCCAUCCUCUGCUACAUAUGUAGGUGGAGCCAUAAGUUCAUCCCUGUGUUCUCUGUGGAUGAUGGUUUCGUCCCUGGGAGCUCUGGGGGUGGGUCUGGUUGGUUGAUAUUGUUGUUGUUCUUAUGGAGUUGCAAACACUUUUAGCUACUUCAGUCCUUUCUCUAACUCCUCCAUUGGGGACCCCGUUCUCAGUUCAAUGAUUGGCUUCAAGUGUCCACCUCUGUAUUUGUCAGGUUCUGGCAGAGCCUCUCAGGAAAUAGUUAUAACAGGCUCAUGCCAGCACGCACAACUUGGCAUGAAGAAUAGUGUCUGGGUUUGGCGGCUGUAUAUGGGCUGGUUCCCCAGGUGGAGCAGUCUAUGGGGCAGUCUCUGGAAGGACUUUUCUUCAGUCUCUGCUACACACUUUGUCUCCAUGUUUUCUCCUGAGAGUGUUUUUACUCCCCCUUCUAAGGACUGAAGCACCCACACUUUGGUCUUCCUUCUUCUUGAGCUUAAUGUGGUCUGUGAACUGUAUCUUGGGGAUUUUGAGCUUUUGGGCUAACAUCCACUCAUCAGUGAGUACAUACCACAUGUGUAGUACUAUGUCGAAUUUUGUGAGGAACAGUCAGACUGAUUUCCACAGUGGUUGUACCAGCUUGCAAUCCCACAUUCUUUCUCCACAUUCUUGCCAGCAUCUGUGCUGUCACCUGAGUUUUUGAUCUUAGCCAUUCUGACUGGCAUGAGGUAGAAUCUCGGGGUUGUUUUGAUGUGCACUCCCCUGAUGACUAGGAUGUCAAACAUUUCUUUAGGUGCUUCCCAGUCAUUCAAUAUUCCUCAGUUGAGAAUUCUUUCUUUAGCUCUGAAACCCAUUUUUUUUAUAUCUGUAUAUAUAUAUUUAUAUUUAUAUAAAAAGACCAAUAAUAGCAGUGUGUUAUGCAUCAACAGCAGCAACAGCUUUUCCAGGUUCUGCAGUCAUCUGAACAAAACUGUAGAGACAUCCAGCACACUCCAUUAAAAAAAAAAAGUAAAAAAACAAAA